rnacentral:rRNA from 1 species
UGGGGAAUAUUGGACAAUGGGCGAAAGCCUGAUCCAGCCAUGCCGCGUGUGUGAAGAAGGCCUUUUGGUUGUAAAGCACUUUAAGUGGGGAGGAAAAGCUUAUGGUUAAUACCCAUAAGCCCUGACGUUACCCACAGAAUAAGCACCGGCUAACUCUGUGCCAGCAGCCGCGGUAAUACAGAGGGUGCAAGCGUUAAUCGGAAUUACUGGGCGUAAAGCGCGCGUAGGUGGUUAUUUAAGUCAGAUGUGAAAGCCCCGGGCUUAACCUGGGAACUGCAUCUGAUACUGGAUAACUAGAGUAGGUGAGAGGGGAGUAGAAUUCCAGGUGUAGCGGUGAAAUGCGUAGAGAUCUGGAGGAAUACCGAUGGCGAAGGCAGCUCCCUGGCAUCAUACUGACACUGAGGUGCGAAAGCGUGGGUAGCAAACAGGAUUAGAUACCCUGGUAGUCCACGCCGUAAAUGAUGUCUACCAGUCGUUGGGUCUUUUAAAGACUUAGUGACGCAGUUAACGCAAUAAGUAGACCGCCUGGGGAGUACGGCCGCAAGGUUA